UUCUUCUUCUCCCUUUCUUCUUCUCUCUUUUUCUCUUUCUCCCUUUUCUUUUCCAAAAAGAUAUGGAAGUUGGUUUGAAAGGAGAGAGAAAGAGAGAGAGGCAAGAAAGUUAUCUUCAUGAAUGAAUGGAAGCACAAGACUUCCAUGUGCAAUCACGAUUCCUUCUUCCAAGAUCACCCCAGAAGAAGAAGAAGAAAGAAG
rnacentral:ribozyme from 13 species